rfam:Gossypium hirsutum cultivar TM-1 chromosome 6, whole genome shotgun sequence
AUCCCAUGAUGAGGACACUUACGUAGUAACUCCUUGAAUCGCUUCCAAGCCUCAUGCAAAGACUCGUCAUCCAAUUGUUGGAAGGUUCUGAUCUCGUAACUCAACUU